UAACACGUGAGCAACCUGCCUUUCANAGGGGGAUAACAGUUGGAAACGACUGCUAAUACCGCAUAACGCUGCGAUGGGGCAUCCCGAUGCAGCCAAAGGAGCAAUCCGCUGGAAGAUGGGCUCGCGGCCGAUUAGCUAGUUGGUGGGGCAACGGCCCACCAAGGCGACGAUCGGUAGCCGGACUGAGAGGUUGAUCGGCCACAUUGGGACUGAGACACGGCCCAAACUCCUACGGAAGGCAGCAG
rnacentral:rRNA from 1 species